UAUGGAGUAUAAUUACGUUUUAUACACCUUUUACAGCAAAUGGUGUUUUUAAAAACCAACUGGAUUCAUAUUACCCAUACCAAAGCAAUUUGAAAUUAUGAAAUCCAUUGGUCAGAUUCUUUUCAGUUCUGAGAGAAUAAUUCUCUCCACAAAUUUAGGAAUCUUUUUUCAGUUAGAUAAUUAUUCAUCCAUUGAUUUUAGAUUUGCCAGUCUUGUUUCUAUUAUUUGAAAACAAGAAAAUCCUUAUUAGCUAAAUUUGUGAGAUGGUUCUUUGACAACUGAAUACAACAAAUCUUUCUAGUUCACACAUAAAUGAAAUUAAAUUUGUUUAUGUGCAAAAUAAUGCUAAUGGAUUAUUAAA
rnacentral:misc_RNA from 1 species